CUGUCAAUCACUGUUAGUGGGAGAGGUUUCAGACAUGUGACACACAGCAACUCUGCCCAAUAAAGGGGAUAAGCUCUAAGUAAGGAACUCUAUCCUAAAGGCAGGGCAAGACAAU
rnacentral:snoRNA from 1 species